rnacentral:ncRNA from 1 species
ACUGGCGGGACCACCCGCUAAGCCUAAAUAUUCCUCGGUGACCGAUAGCGGAUAGUACCGUGAGGGAAUGGUGAAAAGUACCGCGGGAGCGGAGUGAAAUAGUACCUGAAACCGUGUGCCUACAAGCCGUGGGAGCGUCGGAUGGAAGCUUGCUUCCAUCUCGUGACUGCGUGCCUUUUGAAGAAUGAGCCUGCGAGUUUGCGGUGUGUUGCGAGGUUAACCCGGGUGGGGAAGCCGUAGCGAAAGCGAGUCCGAAUAGGGCGUUUCAGUAGCACGCUCAAGACCCGAGGCGGAGUGAUCUAGCCAUGGGCAGGUUGAAGC